rnacentral:rRNA from 1 species
UUGACCUCGGAUCAGGUAGGGAUACCCGCUGAACUUAAGCAUAUCAAUAAGCGGAGGAAAAGAAACCAACAGGGAUUGCCUUAGUAACUGCGAGUGAAGCGGCAGAAGCUCAAAUUUGAAAUCUGCGUCCCUCGGGACGCCGAGUUGUAAUCUUGAGAUGCGUUUUCGACCGACAGGCCUGCCUUAAGUCCCUUGGAACAGGGCGUCACAGAGGGUGAGAAUCCCGUGAACGGUAGGCCUCGAGGCGUAUGAUACGUAUUCAACGAGUCGAGUUGUUUGGGAAUGCAGCUCAAAAUGGGUGGUAAAUUUCAUCUAAAGCUAAAUAUUGGGGAGAGACCGAUAGCGCACAAGUAGAGUGAUCGAAAGAUGAAAAGAACUUUGAAAAGAGAGUUAAAAAGUACGUGAAAUUGUUGAAAGGGAAGCGCUUGAGACCAGACUCAUUCGCCGUCGAUCAACUCCAGUUCUCUGGCGUGCACUCGGCGGUGAUUGGGACAGCAUCGGUUCCCACGGAGGGAUAAAGCCCCAGGAAAUGUGGCACCCUUCCGGGUGUGUUAUAGACCUGCGGGCAAUGCCUCCAGCGGGGACCGAGGACCGCGCUCCGGCUAGGAUGCUGUCAUAAUGGCCUUCAGCGACCCGUCUUGA